rnacentral:rRNA from 1 species
GACGAACGCUGGCGGCGUGCCUAAUACAUGCAAGUCGAGCGGACUGACUGGGAGCUUGCUCUUGUUCGGUCAGCGGCGGACGGGUGAGUAACACGUGGGCAACCUGCCCGCAAGACCGGGAUAACUCCGGGAAACCGGAGCUAAUACCGGAUAACACCGAAGACCGCAUGGUCUUUGGUUGAAAGGCGGCGCAAGCUGCCACUUGCGGAUGGGCCCGCGGCGCAUUAGCUAGUUGGUGAGGUAACGGCUCACCAAGGCGACGAUGCGUAGCCGGCCGGGGAGGGGGACCGGCCCCACUGGGACGGAGACACGGCCCAGACUCCUACGGGAGGCAGCAGUAGGGAAUCUUCCGCAAUGGGCGAAAGCCUGACGGAGCGACGCCGCGUGAGCGAAGAAGGCCUUCGGGUCGUAAAGCUCUGUUGUGAGGGACGAAGGAGCGCCGUUUGAAGAAGGCGGCGCGGUGACGGUACCUCACGAGGAAGCCCCGGCUAACUACGUG